CACUAAGAAGCUAUUAUGGGCCUAGCGUUAGCCUUUUAAGCUAAAGAAUGGUGCCUCCCAAACACCCUUAGUGA
rnacentral:tRNA from 2 species